UACGAAGGGGGCUAGCGUUGCUCGGAAUCACUGGGCGUAAAGCGCACGUAGGCGGGCUGCUAAGUCAGGGGUGAAAUCCUGGAGCUCAACUCCAGAACUGCCCUUGAUACUGGCGGCCUUGAGUCCGGGAGAGGUGAGUGGAACUGCGAGUGUAGAGGUGAAAUUCGUAGAUAUUCGCAAGAACACCAGUGGCGAAGGCGGCUCACUGGCCCGGUACUGACGCUGAGGUGCGAAAGCGUGGGGAGCAAACAGG
rnacentral:rRNA from 1 species